rnacentral:rRNA from 1 species
GAUGAACGCUGGCGGCGUGCCUAAUACAUGCAAGUCGAGCGAACGGACGAGAAGCUUGCUUCUCUGAUGUUAGCGGCGGACGGGUGAGUAACACGUGGAUAACCUACCUAUAAGACUGGGAUAACUUCGGGAAACCGGAGCUAAUACCGGAUGAUAUUUUGAACCGCAUGGUUCAAAAGUGAAAGACGGUCUUGCUGUCACUUAUAGAUGGAUCCGCGCUGCAUUAGCUAGUUGGUAAGGUAACGGCUUACCGAGGCAACGAUGCAUAGCCGACCUGAGAGGGUGAUCGGCCACACUGGAACUGAGACACGGUCCAGACUCCUACGGGAGGCAGCAGUAGGGAAUCUUCCGCAAUGGGCAAAAGCCUGACGGAGCAACGCCGCGUGAGUGAUGAAGGUCUUCGGAUCGUAAAACUCUGUUAUUAGGGAAGAACAUAUGUGUAAGUAACUGUGCACAUCUUGACGGUACCUAAUCAGAAAGCCACGGCUAACUACGUG